rnacentral:tRNA from 1 species
GGAUUGUGGCUUAGCGGUAGAGCGCUCGCCUAACACGGGCGGGACCUGGGUUCGAUUCUCAGCACCA